UAUUCUCCAGUCACCACUAUAUUUCUCCACUAAAUGCUAAUGUGUCCAAUGGCCAACUCCAAGGUACGAAGUGGAGAGGAAAUGAUGGUUUGGUUUUGAAUUUCUGAGACAAGACAAGAGUUCUUCCAUUCGAGAAUUUCUGUUUGUUAGUUCACUUUUCACUACGGUUUAAACUUUAAAGCUUUAAAGUGGAUGACAUAUCGCACAGUGCGCUCCAGUAAUCCAGUGAGAUAGUUAGUUGUAGUGUAUAGGUUUGUUUUAAUUAUUGAGUUUCUAUCUGUUGUUUUUCCUGUUUCCUGUGUUCUUCAUUUUUGUCUUCGUUCCUCUUCGUUACUGUGUCUGCUCCUGAGUCUUCAGUGUCAGUGCAGCGAAGAAGCGAGACCAAACAGCAGUAAAAUAACAAGAGCUUGCAUAGAUGAGGAAAUAUCAUCAGAUAAUCUUUACUUCCAUUGAGAGAGAUGGUCAAUUUCCAGUCAGAAUGGGAGGAGAAAAUCGUUUAUAAAGCAUAUGAGGACAGUGGGGAGCGCUAAUAUUGGCCAAUGUGUCAAUAAUAUCUUGAGAAGAUUAAUGAUUGAUGAGCUGGCCAUGAAAUUCUCAUAUACUGGCCGUGCAUCAAACGGGAACACAAAAACUCCAUUUCAUGGGAGUGAGAUAUCGAAAUGCAUACUGAGUAAGUAGGCUACCGUAUUCCUUUAUAGUCGAAUAUAUGCCAUUUUUGGUUAUGUAAAUAUGGAUGUUACUUAUUUUUAUUGUAUGUUAAUUUAUAUGUUAGCAAGGUUAGCGUUUUAGGCCAUAUUUACACUGCACUGUAGUAGAUGUAUUUUCAAACCAUAUUUGUGCCGUAUUUGUUUUUCAAACCAUA